rnacentral:rRNA from 1 species
UACAGGGGGUGCAAACGUUGCUCGGAAUUAUUGGGCGUAAAGCGCGCGUAGGCGGCUACCUAAGUCGGAUGUGAAAGCCCCUGGCUUAACUGGGGAAGUGCACCCGAAACUGGGUAGCUAGAGUGCAAAAGAGGGUCGCGGAAUUCCCAGUGUAGAGGUGAAAUUCGUAGAUAUUGGGAGGAACACCGGUGGCGAAGGCGGCGACCUGGGUUGACACUGACGCUGAGGCGCGAAAGCGUGGGGAGCGAACAGG